UACGGAGAGUGCAAGCGUUGUUCGGAAUUACUGGGCUUAAAGCGCGUGUAGGCGGAAUGUCAGGUGCCUUGUGAAAGCCCCGGGCUCAACCCGGGCAUGGCUGGGCAAACCGGCAUUCUUGAGGCAGGUAGAGGUGACUGGAACGACCGGUGGAGCGGUGAAAUGCGUAGAUAUCGGUUGGAACGCCGGAGGCGAAAGCGGGUCACUGGACCUGUCCUGACGCUGAGACGCGAAAGCGUGGGUAGCGAACAGG
rnacentral:misc_RNA from 1 species